rnacentral:rRNA from 1 species
UGAUACGUAGGUGGCAAGCGUUGUCCGGAAUUAUUGGGCGUAAAGCGCGCGCAGGCGGUUCCUUAAGUCUGAUGUGAAAGCCCCCGGCUCAACCGGGGAGGGUCAUUGGAAACUGGGGAACUUGAGUGCAGAAGAGAAGAGUGGAAUUCCACGUGUAGCGGUGAAAUGCGUAGAGAUGUGGAGGAACACCAGUGGCGAAGGCGACUCUUUGGUCUGUAACUGACGCUGAGGCGCGAAAGCGUGGGGAGCAAACAGGAUUAGAUGCCCUGGUAGUCCACGCCGUAAACGAUGAGUGCUAAGUGUUAGAGGGUUUCCGCCCUUUAGUGCUGCAGCAAACGCAUUAAGCACUCCGCCUGGGGAGUACGGCCGCAAGGCUGAAACUCAAAGGAAUUGACGGGGGCCCGCACAAGCGGUGGAGCAUGUGGUUUAAUUCGGAGCAACGCGAAGAACCUUACCAGGUCUUGACAUCUCCUGACAACCCUAGAGAUAGGGCGUUCCCCUUCGGGGGACAGGAUGACAGGUAGUGCAUGGUUGUCGUCAGCUCGUGUCGUGAGAUGUUGGGUUAAGUCCCGCAACGAGCGCAACCCUUGAUCUUAGUUGCCAGCAUUCAGUUGGGCACUCUAAGGUGACUGCCGGUGACAAACCGGAGGAAGGUGGGGAUGACGUCAAGUCAUCAUGCCCCUUAUGACCUGGGCUACACACGUGCUACAAUGGAUGGUACAAAGGGCUGCGAGACCGCGAGGUUAAGCGAAUCCCAUAAAACCAUUCUCAGUUCGGAUUGCAGGCUGCAACUCGCCUGCAUGAAGCCGGAAUCGCUAGUAAUCGCGGAUCAGCAUGCCGCGGUGAAUACGUUCCCGGGCCUUGUACACACCGCCCGUCACACCACGAGAGUUUGUAACACCCGAAGUCGGUGGGGUAACCUUU